AACGAACGCUGGCGGCAUGCCUAACACAUGCAAGUCGAACGAGACCUUCGGGUCUAGUGGCGCACGGGUUCGUAACGCGUGGGAACCUGCCCUUAGGUUCGGAAUAACUCCCCGAAAGGGGUGCUAAUACCGGAUAAUGUCUUCGGACCAAAGAUUUAUCGCCUUUGGAUGGGCCCGCGUUGGAUUAGCUAGUUGGUAGGGUAAAAGCCUACCAAGGCGACGAUCCAUAGCUGGUCUGAGAGGAUGAUCAGGCACACUGGGACUGAGACACGGCCCAGACUCCUACGGGAGGCAGCAGUGGGGGAUAUUGGACAAUGGGCGAAAGCCUGAUCCAGCAAUGCCGCGUGAGUGAUGAAGGCCUUAGGGUCGGAAAGCUCUUUUAACCGGGAUGAUAAUGACAGGUCCGGGAGAAUAAGCUCCGGCUAACUCCGUG
rnacentral:rRNA from 1 species